rnacentral:rRNA from 1 species
UACGUAGGGGGCAAGCGUUGUCCGGAUUUAUUGGGCAUAAAGAGCGUGUAGGCGGCUAGGUAGGUCCGUUGUGAAAACUCGAGGCUCAACCUCGAGCUGUCGGUGGAAACUGUCUGACUAGAGUCCGGAAGAGGAGAGUGGAAUUCCUGGUGUAGCGGUGAAAUGCGCAGAUAUCAGGAGGAACACCGGUGGCGAAGGCGGGUCUCUGGGCCGAUACUGACGCUGAGGAGCGAAAGCGUGGGGAGCGAACAGG